UACGGGGGGGGCAAGCGUUGUUCGGAAUUACUGGGCGUAAAGGGUUCGUAGGUGGCUUGUUAAGUCAGACGUGAAAUCCCUCGGCUCAACCGGGGAACUGCGUCUGAGACUGAUGAGCUCGAGUGCAGGAGAGGAACGCGGAAUUCCAGGUGUAGCGGUGAAAUGCGCAGAUAUCAGGAGGAACACCGGUGGCGAAGGCGGCUUGCUGGGCCAGUUCUGACGCUGAGGAGCGAAAGCGUGGGGAGCGAACAGG
rnacentral:rRNA from 1 species